UAGGGAAUCUUCCACAAUGGACGCAAGUCUGAUGGAGCAACGCCGCGUGAGUGAAGAAGGUUUUCGGACCGUAAAGCUCUGUUGUUGGUGAAGAAGGAUAGAGGUAGUAACUGGCCUUUAUUUGACGGUAAUCAACCAGAAAGUCACGGCUAACUACGUGCCAGCAGCCGCGGUAAUACGUAGGUGGCAAGCGUUGUCCGGAUUUAUUGGGCGUAAAGCGAGCGCAGGCGGAAGAAUAAGUCUGAUGUGAAAGCCCUCGGCUUAACCGAGGAAUUGCAUCGGAAACUGUUUUCUUGAGUGCAGAAGAGGAGAGUAGAACUCCAUGUGUAGCGGUGGAAUGCGUAGAUAUAUGGAAGAAUACCAGUGGCGAAGGCGGCUCUCUGGUCUGCAACUGGCGCUGAGGCUCGAAAGCAUGGGUAGCGAACAGGAUUAGAUACCCUGGUAGUCCAUGCCGUAAACGAUGAGUGCUAAGUGUUGGGAGGCUUCCGCCUCUCAGUGCUGCAGCUAACGCAUUAAGCACUCCGCCUGGGGGAGUACGACCGCAAGGUUGAAAC
rnacentral:rRNA from 1 species